AAUAGAUACCCAGGUAGUCCACGCCGUAAACGGUGGGCACUAGGUGUGGGGACCAUUCCACGGUCUCUGCGCCGCAGCUAACGCAUUAAGUGCCCCGCCUGGGGAGUACGGCCGCAAGGCUAAAACUCAAAGGAAUUGACGGGGGGCCCGCACAAGCGGCGGAGCAUGCGGCUUAAUUCGAAGCAACGCGAAGAACCUUACCUAGGCUUGACAUGCAGGGAAAUCUGGCAGAGAUGCCAGGUCCUUCGGGGCCUUGCACAGGUGGUGCAUGGCUGUCGUCAGCUCGUGUCGUGAGGUGUUGGGUUAAGUCCCGCAACGAGCGCAACCCUCGUUCUAUGUUGCCAGCGGUUCGGCCGGGGACUCAUAGAAGACUGCCGGGGUCAACUCGGAGGAAGGUGGGGAUGACGUCAAGUCAUCAUGCCCCUUAUGUCUAGGGCUGCACGCAUGCUACAAUGGUCGGUACAAAGGGCUGCAAUACCGCAAGGUGGAGCGAAUCCCAAAAAGCCGGCCUCAGUUCGGAUUGGGGU
rnacentral:rRNA from 1 species